UAAGCUGAGACGCGUGUGUGGAGCUUC
rnacentral:snRNA from 1 species